AACCCCUUCGACGAGUCGAGUUGUUUGGGAAUGCAGCUCAAAAUGGGUGGUAAAUUUCAUCUAAAGCUAAAUACUGGCUGGAGACCGAUAGCGCACAAGUAGAGUGAUCGAAAGAUGAAAAGCACUUUGGAAAGAGAGUCAAAAAGUACGUGAAAUUGUUGAAAGGGAAGCGCUUGCAACCAGACCUGUCCGUGGGUGAUCAGCCGCCGUUCUCGGUGGUGCACUCGCCUACGAUCAGGCCAGCAUCGGUUCGGGCGGCCGGACAAAGGCCUUGGGAAUGUAGCUCCUCUCGGGGAGUCUUAUAGCCCUCGGUGCAAUGUGGCCAGCCCGGACCGAGGACCGCGCUUCGGCUAGGAUGCUGGCGUAAUGGUUGUAAGCGACCCGUCUUGAAACACGGACCAAGGAGUCUAACAUCUAUGCGAGUGUUUGGGUGUUAAACCCAUACGCGGAAUGAAAGUGAACGGAGGUGAGAACCCUUUAGGGCGCAUCAUCGACCGAUCCAGAUGUCUUCGGAUGGAUUUGAGUAUGAGCAUAGCUGUUGGGACCCGAAAGAUGGUGAACUAUGCCUGAAUAGGGUGAAGCCAGAGGAAACUCUGGUGGAGGCUCGCAGCGG
rnacentral:rRNA from 1 species